GUCGUCAUUUAGUCCUUAAUUUUUGUUGAAUAAAAUUGGUAAACCCUAACCCACUUCACCACACCUUGCAAUUUUUAAUUAGUUAGUUUCAAUCAGCACAUGUACACCACCCCAAUUUCCAGUUGCAAAAGCAGAACAUGCUCACCGGACCGUAAAGUACUAUCUUUUAUCGUUCCUCACAUGGCCGUAGAUUGAAGAUUCAGAAAAUGGCAAGCUUAAUUCUAGACUAGCAGAACUCAUAAGCGUUGUACAUAUAUGUAUAUGUUUAUAAUUAGGAUAUUUACUUAUUUGCUAUCUUCUGUAAUAUGAUGGUUUAAAGAAGCUUCAAGGUCAUUGCAAUCUGAAUUUGCAUA